rnacentral:rRNA from 1 species
UACGAAGGGUGCAAGCGUUACUCGGAAUUACUGGGCGUAAAGCGUGCGUAGGUGGUGAGUUAAGUCUGUCGUGAAAGCCCCGGGCUCAACCUGGGAAUGGCGAUGGAUACUGGCUCGCUAGAGUGCGGUAGAGGAGAGUGGAAUUCCCGGUGUAGCGGUGAAAUGCGUAGAUAUCGAGAGGAACACCUGCGGCGAAGGCGGGUUGCUGGGCUGACACUGACGCUGAGGCGCGAAAGCUAGGGGAGCGAACGGG